GCCAGGAACAAAACCGCAGCCCUGAAGUUUCUGCAGCCCCCGGAGCUGAGAUGCCGACUCCCCGCCCUCCAGAACCUUCCACGCCGCUCGCUCCCGCGAAGGCAGCAGUGAAAAGCUAAAGAAGUAAACAGGUCAUGGCAUGUUUGACAAAAAGAUGACAGGCAGAUACAAAAGCUAUCCAGCAUCUUUGGGCAGCCAUUGAGAUUAUAACGGAACCAGAAGCAAAUUGCCAACAUUGACCGUAUUACAAAAGGACUUAUUCUACGUCAUUUGCAUGUCCACAUGAGUAUUAGAAUCAGCUUGACAAUUUCUACAACAGAGAACACUUUGAUGUUGACUGGGCUUGUGCUGAAUCUGCAGAUCAAUGUGAUCAGAACUGAUGUCUGAGUGUUUUUCUGACCUGCGAAGAAGGUGUAUCUUUCCCUUUGCUGAGUUCUCCUUUAUUUUUACUCUGCAAUGCUUACAGUUUUUAUAGUACAGGUCUUUUGUAGUUUUGUCAGAUUGACCUGUAAAUAUUUCUCUUUAAAUGCUAUUGUAAAUGGUAUCAUUUUUAAUUUAAAUUUCCAAUCAUUCAUUGCUAGUG